AUUGAACGCUGGCGGCAGGCCUAACACAUGCAAGUCGAGCGAGCGGCGGACGGGGGAGUAAUGUCUGGGAAACAGUGUGAUGGAGGGGGAGAACUACUGGAGAAGGUGUCUAAUACCGCAUACGCUAAGAUGUGUCCAGAUGGGAUUAGCUAGUAGGGGGGGUAAUGGCUCACCUAGGCGACGAUCCCUAGCUGGUCUGAGAGGAUGACCAGCCACACUGGAACUGAGACACGGUCCAGACUCCUACGGGAGGCAGCAGUGGGGAAUAUUGCACAAUGGGCGCAAGCCUGAUGCAGCCAUGCCGCGUGUGUGAAGAAGGCCUUCGGGUUGUAAAGCACUUUCAGCGGGGAGGCGUUACCCGCAGAAGAAGCACCGGCUAACUCCGUGCCAGCAGCCGCGGUAAUUC
rnacentral:rRNA from 1 species